rfam:Spinacia oleracea cultivar SynViroflay scaffold93827.con0001.1, whole genome shotgun sequence.
AACCUAUUAGCUCAAAUGGUAGAGCACUAUGCAUAUGAUAUGCAUAAGGGACGUGGGUUCGAUUCCCACAUAGGUUG